UACAGAGGGUGCGAGCGUUAAUCGGAAUUACUGGGCGUAAAGCGUGCGUAGCCGGUUACGUAAGUCGGGUGUGAAAGCCCCGGGCUCAACCUGGGAAUUGCAUUCGAGACUGCGCAGCUAGGGUGCGGAAGAGGGAAGCGGAAUUUCCGGUGUAGCGGUGAAAUGCGUAGAUAUCGUUUGGAACGCCAAUGGUGAAAACAGGUAACUGGGAGUGCGCUGACGCUGAGACACGAAAGCCAGGGGAGCGAACGGG
rnacentral:rRNA from 1 species